UGAGCCCUACGGGGCGCAGCAGUGAGGAAUAUUGGUCAAUGGCCGGAAGGCUGAACCAGCCAAGUCGCGUGAGGGAAUAAGGCCCUACGGGUUGUAAACUUCUUUUGUCAGGGAGCAAUUGGGUCCACGCGUGGGCUUAGCGAGAGUACCUGAAGAAAAAGCAUCGGCUAACUCCGUGCCAGCAGCCGCGGUAAUACGGAGGAUGCGAGCGUUAUCCGGAUUUAUUGGGUUUAAAGGGUGCGUAGGCGGAAUAUCAAGUCAGCGGUAAAAAUUCGGGGCUCAACCCCGUCGUGCCGUUGAAACUG
rnacentral:rRNA from 1 species